CCUACGGGUGCAGCAGUGGGGAAUAUUGGACAAUGGGCGAAAGCCUGAUCCAGCCAUGCCGCGUGUGUGAAGAAGGCCUUCGGGUUGUAAAGCACUUUCAGUGGGGAAGAAAGCCUUGGGGCUAAUACCCUCGAGGAAGGACAUCACCCACAGAAGAAGCACCGGCUAACUCCGUGCCAGCAGCCGCGGUAAUACGGAGGGUGUGAGCGUUAAUCGGAAUUACUGGGCGUAAAGCGCGCGUAGGCGGUCUGAUAAGCCGGUUGUGAAAGCCCCGGGCUCAACCUGGGAACGGCAUCCGGAACUGUCAGGCUAGAGUGCAGGAGAGGAAGGUAGAAUUCCCGGUGUAGCGGUGAAAUGCGUAGAGAUCGGGAGGAAUACCAGUGGCGAAGGCGGCCUUCUGGACUGACACUGACGCUGAGGUGCGAAAGCGUGGGUAGCAAACAGGAUUAGAUACCCGAGUAGUC
rnacentral:rRNA from 1 species